AUUGAACGCUGGCGGCAUGCUUUACACAUGCAAGUCGAACGGUAACAGGCCUUCGGGUGCUGACGAGUGGCGAACGGGUGAGUAAUGCAUCGGAACGUACCCAGAGGUGGGGGAUAACGCAGCGAAAGCUGUGCUAAUACCGCAUGUGAUCUGAGGAUGAAAGCGGGGUACCGAGCAGCAAUGUUUGGCCUCGCGCCUUUGGAGCGGCCGAUGUCGGAUUAGCUAGUUGGUGGGGUAAAGGCCUACCAAGGCGGCGAUCCGUAGCUGGUCUGAGAGGACGACCAGCCACACUGGGACUGAGACACGGCCCAGACUCCUACGGGAGGCAGCAGUGGGGAAUUUUGGACAAUGGGCGCAAGCCUGAUCCAGCAAUGCCGCGUGCGGGAAGAAGGCCUUCGGGUUGUAAACCGCUUUUGGCAGGAACGAAACGGUGUCCGCUAAUACCGGGCGCUAAUGACGGUACCUGCAGAAUAAGCACCGGCUAACUACGUG
rnacentral:rRNA from 1 species